UGAAUACGAGGCACUAAGGUGCUGAAGUAGUGUAUGUCAUACUUCCAAGAAAAGCUUGCACUAUCGUAAGAUAAAAAUGCCUGUACCAUAACCGACACAGGUGGGUAAGUAGAGUAUACUAAGGGGCGCGAGAUAACUCUCUCUAAGGAACUCGGCAAAAUAACUCCGUAACUUCGGGAGAAGGAGUGCCUUAUUCUAUAAGGUUGCAAUAACAAGAUCCAAGCAACUGUUUAUCAAAAACACAGGUCUCCGCUAAGUCGUAAGACGAUGUAUGGGGGCUGACGCCUGCCCAGUGCCAGUAGGUUAAAGAAGUCGGUUAGCAAUUGCGAAGCUGGUAACUGAAGCCCUGGUGAACGGCGGCCGUAACUAUAACGGUCCUAAGGUAGCGAAAUUCCUUGUCGGGUAAGUUCCGACCCGCACGAAAGGCGUAAUGAUUUGGAUACUGUCUCGGAGAGGGACUCGGUGAAAUAGACUUGUCUGUGAAGAUGCGGACUACCUGCACCAGGACAGAAAGACCCUAUGAAGCUUUACUGUAACUUGAAAUUGAAAUUGGACUUUAUUCGCGCAGUAUAGGUGGGAGGCGUUGAUUAUAAUCUUGUGGGAUUAUUGGAGCCAUUAGUGAGAUACCACUCUUGUAAUGUUAGAUUUCUAACUUUGAAUCAUGAUCUGGUCAAAGAACAGUUUCAGGCGGGCAGUUUGACUGGGGCGGUCGCCUCCUAAAUGGUAACGGAGGCGUACAAAGGUUUCCUCUGAACGGGUAGAAAUCGUAUCUAGAGUGUAAAGGCAUAAGGAAGCUUGACUGUGAGACCUACAAGUCGAGCAGGGACGAAAGUCGGUCUUAGUGAUCUGACGGUACUGAGUGGAAAGGCCGUCACUCAACGGAUAAAAGUUACUCUAGGAUAACAGGCUGAUCUCCCCCAAGAGUUCACAUCGACGGGGAGGUUUGGCACCUCGGUGUCGGCUCAUCGCAUCCUGGGGCGGUAGUACGUCCCAAGGGUUGGGCUGUUCGCCCAUGAAAGCGGUACGCGAGCUGGGUUCAGAACGUCGUGAGACAGUUCGGUCCAUAUCCGGUGUAGGCGUUAGAAUAUUGAGAGGAGCCUUCUUUAGUACGAGAGGACCGAGAAGGACAUACCUCUGGUGUACCAGUUAUCGUGCCAACGGUAAACGCUGGGUAGCUAUGUAUGGAGUGGAUAACCGCUGAAAGCAUCUAAGUGGGAAGCCCACCUCAAGAUAAGUAUUCU
rnacentral:rRNA from 1 species